rnacentral:pre_miRNA from 1 species
AAUGUUUGGCGUCGUUAACUUUUUAGCACAUGUUUGACCGUUCGUCUUAUUCAAAAACUUUUAAGUAAUUAUUAUUUUUUUCAUAUCAUUUGAUUCAUUAUUAAAUAUAUUUUUAUGUAGGCAUAUAAUUUUACAUAUUUCAUAAAAGGUUUUGAAUAAGACGAACGGUCAAACAUGUGCUAAAAAAUCAACAGCGUUAAA